AGUGCGCCAAGUCAGGUAAGGUCUAACCAACCACCUGUAUCAAGUGUUGCGUUGAUACUGGCGACAAUAAAGAUGAAGCGACACCGAGAAUCAUAUAGGCCAUAGGGGAGACCGUAAUCCCUGAAGCAUAUUCAGCCCCAUAAAUCGCGUACCUAGAAAUAGGAAAAUGCAGAUGACGACGUGUUUUACGUCACGGAAGUCAAUACAAAGGAAUCGUUAAUAGUGAGAUUUUUGAGGGUCUGUCGGGGUCCUAUAACA
rfam:Alkaliphilus metalliredigens QYMF, complete genome.